CUACAGCGCAGAAGUAAAUCUGGAUGUUCACUGCGCUGUCAUUACCGUUUUCUGAACGGUGGAUUUAAAACAACAGCCAUCUACUACAAAAGCGACACAUUGGCAUUAUUUAAAAGUGACAGGCGAUCGAGACAGAAAAUAACGAGUGAAUUACCUGAUCGCUUUCAAUGAUAUCAACAAUGUACUUCCAAAGAUUCAUUGUUAAAGCAAUAACGUGUUUUUUGACAUUGGUGGCAAUUUUAAUUAUUUAAACUAUCGCUACUUGAGAACGACCCUAGCAGAUACAACCGUUCGUUUUAAUGAAAUAAAUACAUUUAAAUAUGGAAUACCAACGAAAGAAGAGGUUCACCAAUUUCACAAUCGGACUAAUAUUCCUUUUCAGUGGCAUUGAAUACGCGGUGAUCUUGCCCACCAUCUGGAAGUACCUGCAGACCCUCCAUGCAGAGCCCUAUUUCCUGGGGCUGGGUCUCUCUGCGUUCUCUCUGACGGGUCUGCUGGCCGGGCCUCUAUUCGGACACUGGUCAGACCGGACUCGCAGGACCAAGGCCAUCAUUCUUUUUGCUAACCUCUUCGAGAUCGUAGGUAACUUCAUGUACUUCAUGGGGGUCUCCAAGUGGCUGCUGCUGUCCAGCCGGCUGGUGGCAGGUAUUGGCACAGGGGCUGGUGCCUCGAUCUUCGGCUAUCUGACCCGCGCCACGGCGCCCGAGGGCCGCGCCACCGUCUUCGCUGCAGUCAUGGCCUGCAGGCAGGCGGGGCUGCUGAUUGGUCCAGCAUUUAAUCUCUUCUUGCGACUGUGUGACUUCAAACUGGGCCCGUUUGUAGUGAAUAAAUACACCUCCCCUGGGCUCUUCAUGUGCUUCUUAUGGAUGCUACUGCAGCUUGUGGUCCUCUUCAUGUACUGGGACCUCCCGCCACGGGGGGCACUGCAGCGGGAGGAGCAGGAGAUAAAGCAGGAGGAAGAGGAGGAAGGGAAGGACGAGGAGGAGAAGCCGCUAGUAGCCCAGGACAUCCAGGAGUCCUACGGCAGCAUCCAAACUGCCGACAUCCUGGAGCUCCCUCAGCACAGCCCGAGCCUGCCCAACGGGAACCUCGACCAGCCCUCUCCCUCACGCAGCACAAGCCCUUUCCACAGCUUCAGCGCAAGCAGAGAGUAUCUGCGGGAGGAGGUGGUGGUUCUGUUGUCUGCCCAGUUCAUCACCCUGUUCAACCAGACCGCCCUGGAGACGAUGGUGACACCGCUCACUCAGAAGUACUUUAACUUCGGGGAGCUGGAGAACAGCGCCAUGUACUGCCUGUGUGGCAUCGAGGUGAUCGCCGGCUUCUUCUUCGUGCGCUGGCUCAGCUGCCGCUACGCUGACCGGGUCAUCCUGGCUGUGGGGCUGGUCAUCUGCAACGUCUCCUGUGUCUGGUUCCUCAUCUUCCUGUGCAAGCCCCGAGGCAGUGGGGCCUGGCUGCUGGCCCAGUUUGUUAUCGGGGUGUUCCUGCAGGUUCUGGGGCUCCCCUUCGUGGCGGUCGCGCAGAUCUCCCUCUUCUCCAAGGUGACGGCUGAGAAGACGCAGGGUUUCAGCCAAGGUCUGCGGCGCUCUGUUGGGGGUCUGGCCACCAUCCUGGGCCCCCUGUGGGCAGGUGGGCUGAUUAGGAACCUGUAUGUCAUGCUGGGGGUGAUGAUGGGGCUGCUGACUCUACUCACUGUGAUGAUGGGCGUGUCCUACAAGCACCUGGUGGAGCCUCGUACCAAGACCAACCACACUGACACCCAGGAGGACUGUGGCUAGUGCCCGUGGAAACCUGGCAGAGAGGCUGAAGGUAGGCUAACACAUCAGAACGGUAUGUGACUUUCAUUGCAGUCUAGCCUAUUAACCCAAUAAAGUUUCAGAGAAAUACUUAUUGAAAUACGUUUCUUGUUUUUUUGUUUUUUAUUAUUAUUUGUUUAUUUAGCAGACGCCUUUAUCCAAGGCGACUUACAGAGACUAGGGUGUGUGAAUUAUGCAUCAGCUGCAGAGUCACUUACAAUUACAUCUCACCUGAAAGACGGAGCACAAGGAGGUUAAGUGACUUGCUCAGGGUCACACAAUGAGCCAGUGGCUGAAGUGGGAUUUGAACCGGGGACCUCCUGGUUACAAGUCCUUAUCUUUAACCACUGGACUACACAGCCACCUAUAGAAGUGACCCCAUUUUCUAUGGGUCUCUGUUCUCUGUGAAUGUGAACCUUCCUCCCCUGACUGACCGGCUGAGAGGCUGCACUACACACCACUCACGCUGGGCUGACAUUCACUGAGGCAAGGCCAGGCUGGACAUGAGCUGGACACUUCUUCCAGUGCCCUAGGCAGGGCUGUGAUGCCAUUAUAAACAAGAGAUGAUCUCCCUACACACACACACACACCUCCCAAUACCGUAGUGCAUCUGUAGAGACAGCCUCUGAAACAGUCACUAAUCCCUUCCAUUUCCUGAUCCUCAGACCAUCCUGAACUCUAACCACUGAAAUGUGAUGAAAUGUACAAAAAUGCCUAUACACAAAAACUCCAGAAGAAUGUGCCAGAGACCUUAGGAAUUUUGUUGUGGAAGACAGCAAAGGAAAGAAGGUAUAACUUAAGAGUGGAAGUACUGUUGAGUUACUAUACAUAUUUUGACACACACAAAAAAAACCCCAAAAAAGUAACCGAAAACACUAAAUUUCAUACAGUAUAUCAAAAACGAAAGCCCUGAAAAAAAACGAUUUACAUAAAACUCAAAAAUAGCUAAAAAUAAACACUGAAAAAUAUAUAGUUAUAUAGUAGGGUUUGUGAUACUAUACACUUCCCUGUAAGUAGUGCACUAUGUCAUUAACAUGCACACAGUUAUUUGCAGACAGUGCAGGAAUCCCAUUGCACACGGAUGGGGUUUCCUUGCUGUUGUGGCUUGGGCCUGGAUCGACAGCAAUAUCUAAAUGCUUGGAGGCAUCAAGGAUUAAAGCACUGCAGAUGCAGUUGUCUUUUUUAAUGCAGCUUUUUCUUUUUCAUUCAUAUCAUUUAAUAAGCUAUGAUCAGAUGGGUCAGCAGUGUCUCCUCCCUCACUACAAGAAUAGCACCAUUGAAACUCUCACAAGCCUCUCACUCAUUCCCCUGAUUGAGCAAAGCAGAUGAGCGCCAGGCGGGUAGAGUCAUGACCAUUGCUAAGAUUCCAUUGGGAACUCACUGGCUACAGCAAAUGGGAACAGAAGCAUCAUUGUGUAAAAACAAGUAAUCUGAUUUGAAUUGAAAAUGUUUACCCGACAGAAGUACAGUGUUGCGUACUGAAAGCAUUUCACAAAGGCAGUGAACAGUGCCUGUUCUUACGAGUAGCAGAGUGGCUGUUAUCCUCUCCCGUUCCCCCUGUCCUUUAGUUCACCACUGGUGUCCAAAUGGUGUAACUGCUGUGUUUGAAUUUGAACUUUCACUGAUUAAAUCUGUUGAUGCUGUAGAAGAUCAUUAUUUUUAGAUUUUUUUUUUUCUUCCAAAACCUGAAGUGAAUGUACUUUAUACUCUACAGGUCAAGAGCAACUGUGCAAUAAAACGAAUAAAGCAAUGC